CCGAGUUUACAAUUCCCAAACCCCUGUGAACAUACCACUUGUUGCCUCGGCGGAUCAGCCCGCUCCCGGUAAAACGGGACGGCCCGCCAGAGGACCCCUAAACUCUGUUUCUAUAUGUAACUUCUGAGUAAAACCAUAAAUAAAUC
rnacentral:misc_RNA from 1 species